AGUUUAUUACUUAGAAACAGAACUCAAAUCCUGCUAUCUUAGAAUCAAAAUCCUAACCCCAGCUCAAUUUCUCCAAUUUGACUACAUUGACUCGUGUUCUGCAUUCCUUUCUCUCGCUAUUGUCCUGGAAGGUUCUUUCAAGAGGAUGCACCAGCUCCAUGGAGGCUUGCUUGGGUGGUGCGUGUGAGUUUCAUGGUUGAUUGCAGAGGCGCGUUGGUCUCCGAUCUCUCCCAGACGAACGCUUGGAUGGCGUUUAGAAUCAAAAUCAUGAAUAAACCUAAAUCCUUAAUCCCAUCCCUAACACAAUUUCUCCAGUUUCACAACACUGAUGCGCGCAUUCUGCGUUUCUCUCUGCUCUACCGAGUUCUGCUAUACUCCGCCAUGUUCUUCUGCUCUGCCGUGUUCUUCUCCUCGCGUCGAGUUCUGCUUUACUCCACCAUGUUCUUCUGCUCGCGUCGAGGAAUUUCAUGUAACUCAAUUAGAUUACAGAAAGGCUAUCUGCGGAUAAAUGUGAGGCAGAGUUGUUAAGCAAGAAAUAUGAGGAGAAGUACAAACAUUGUAGCAGAAAUAACAUCCAAAUUGAUUGUUGAAGGCAGUUAUGAAUAUUCUGUUGGAUAUUCAUGGCAUUGUGAUGGUUGUUCGUUACAGGAGAAAAGUGCAUUUUGGAUUCAGAACUUUGGCAUGCAUGUGCUGGUCCCCUUGUUUCUUUACCAGUUGUUCAAAACCGAGUUGUGUACUUUCCACAAGUUCACAGUGAACAGGACUUUAAACCUCUAUCUCUUUCUCUGUUCUUCACACUGUGUUGGUUACUUCUCUCUGUAUUUUGGGUUCGUCGCUGUUGGCGUCUCCAUCGUGUUCGUCGCUGCUCGCCUCACCUCGCCGUUGGUUUCGUCCCUGAUCGCAUCGCCAUCUGUUCAUCGCUGCUCACAUUUGAAGCUUCUUAUUUUUGGUCUUUUCGCUUCCAAUUUUCUCGUCGCCUUCUGCUCUCGGUAGCUUCUUGGCUCCUGACUGGGUGCUGAGCUGCUCUGCACCGCCGUGGUGCAUCAUAGGUGUUGGAGUUGGCUGGGAAUUCUUUCAGUUCAAUUGAGUUAGCGCUAAGUUUUUCGCCAUGUUUCCAAUUACGUUCACAAAAGGUGAUUUUUCUUUGCCUAAGUGUUCUGAUUUCUUUACUUUCAGCUGAAUUAUGAUUAACACAUGACCAUGACUCAAAAUCUAUUUGGCUACCCACCAAGUGUUUGCCAAAAGUCCUCCACGAACAGAGGAAAACAAAGGUGCUUUAUUAUUAACUUCCAUCUAUUUGACUCAAAUUAUCUCC